rnacentral:tRNA from 1 species
GUUGUCAGCUCAGUGGUAGAGCAUCUGCCUUGCAUGCAGAAGGUCUCAAAUUCAAUCCCCAGCAUCUCCA